AGAGAGAGACAUGCGCGCAUAUCAAUAAGCGGAGGAAAAGAAACUAACAAGGAUUCCCUUAGUAACGGCGAGUGAAGCGGGAAGAGCUCAAAUUUGAAAUCUUCAAGGUUUUACCUUGACGAAUUGUAGUUUAAAGAAGUGUUUUCUGCUGAAGUUUUGGUAAAAGUUCUUUGGAAUAGGACAUCAUAGAGGGUGAGAAUCCCGUAUUUGACCAUUAUUUUCAGCUUUGUGAUACACUUUCAAAGAGUCGGAUUGUUUGGGAAUGCAGUCCCAAAAUGGGUGGUAAAUUUCAUCUAAAGCUAAAUAUUGGCGAGAGACCGAUAGCGAACAAGUACCGUGAGGGAAAGAUGAAAAGAACUUUGAAAAGAGAGUUAAACAGUACGUGAAAUUGUCAAAAGGGAAGCGUUUGACACCAGUGUUGUUUUCUCGAAAAUCAAUUAAAAAUGGCUCGAUUUUGUAUUGUUGAGACCUUAAAAGCUCACUGUGCAUUUUUCGUGUCUUUUUUAAUGCACUUUUCGUUUAACAAGUCAACAUCAGUUUCUUUUGUUGUAAAAGGGUCAUUGGAAGGUGGCUUUCUUUUCGGAGAAAGUGUUUAUAGCCUUUGGCCUCUGCAAUCGGAGAGACUGAGGUCUGCAGCGUAGACUCUUCGGGGUUAGAUACAUUUGUGCUAAGUUAUAGCUUUUUAUAGACAACUUGUUGACUAUAAUUAGUCUUGUAGCUUACUCGCUUAUGCUAUUUUACCUACGCUUAGGAUGUUGAGUCGUAGAGCACGCAG
rnacentral:rRNA from 1 species